rnacentral:tRNA from 1 species
AUAUAUCUAGUUUAAAUAAAAACAAUAAUUUGUGGAAUUAUAACUUCUAACAAUACUCUACACCAUAUAUA